GUGGGGAAUAUUGGACAAUGGGCGAAAGCCUGAUCCAGCCAUGCCGCGUGUGUGAAGAAGGUCUUCGGAUUGUAAAGCACUUUAAGUUGGGAGGAAGGGCAGUAAGUUAAUACCUUGCUGUUUUGACGUUACCGACAGAAUAAGCACCGGCUAACUUCGUGCCAGCAGCCGCGGUAAUACGAAGGGUGCAAGCGUUAAUCGGAAUUACUGGGCGUAAAGCGCGCGUAGGUGGUUUGUAAGUUGGAGGUGAAAUCCCCGGGCUCAACCUGGGAACUGCCUCCAAAACUGCAUGACUAGAGUACGGUAGAGGGUAGUGGAAUUUCCUGUGUAGCGGUGAAAUGCGUAGAUAUAGGAAGGAACACCAGUGGCGAAGGCGACUACCUGGACUGAUACUGACACUGAGGUGCGAAAGCGUGGGGAGCAAACAGGAUUAGAUACCCGGGUAGUCC
rnacentral:rRNA from 1 species